GACGUACGGGGCGAGCGUUUGUCCGGAACUUACUGGGCGUAAAGGGCGCGUAGGCGGUCAAUCAAGUCAGGUGUAAAAGACCCGGGCUCAACCCGGGGGUAGCACCCUGAAACUGGUUGGCUAGAGGGCAGGAGAGGGGGAGUGGAAUUCCCGGUGUAGCGGUGAAAUGCGUACGAUAUCGGGAGGAAUACCAGUGGCGAAGGCGACUCUCUGGACUGGCCCUGACGCUGAGGCGCGAAAGCGUGGGGAGCGAACAGGAUUAGAUACCCCCGUAGU
rnacentral:rRNA from 1 species